UGCUUUUGCAUUUAAAUGGGUGUGGUGCAAAGUAUAUCUUGUUUACCUUAUCUUUUUGUGGAAUAAGUUUUGAAGUCUGGUUCGGUUUGUCACAUCGUGCCUGUUGCCUAGCACUACCCAAAGUGUCCUUAUCUAGCAACAAAGACUGGGUAGGUGGAGGUUGUUGCUUGGC
ensembl:misc_RNA